AACGAACGCUGGCGGCAUGCCUAACACAUGCAAGUCGAACGAGACCUUCGGGUCUAGUGGCGCAUGGGUGCGUAACGCGUGGGAACCUGCCCUUAGGUUCGGAAUAACUCCCCGAAAGGGGUGCUAAUACCGGAUAAUGUCUUCGGACCAAAGAUUUAUCGCCUUUGGAUGGGCCCGCGUUGGAUUAGCUAGAUGGUAGGGUAAAAGCCUACCAAGGCGACGAUCCAUAGCUGGUCUGAGAGGAUGAUCAGCCACACUGGGACUGAGACACGGCCCAGACUCCUACGGGAGGCAGCAGUGGGGAAUAUUGGACAAUGGGCGAAAGCCUGAUCCAGCAAUGCCGCGUGAGUGAUGAAGGCCUUAGGGUUGUAAAGCUCUUUUACCCGGGAUGAUAAUGACAGUACCGGGAGAAUAAGCUCCGGCUAACUCCGUG
rnacentral:rRNA from 1 species